GGCCCACAAAUCACUCCCUUGCAUUUGCAUAACCUAGACCUUAAUCUAAAAUUAAUUAGACGUUGACCCCUAAGGAUUUCGAGCUCAUUAGGACAAGUGACCCUGAGAGUUGAACCAGGUUAGACUUGGUCAGCUAGCUGGUGUCUAGGCAAGUGGUUUGCGGGACGACUGGGCCCGAAGGAAGGUGGUUUUUAAUUGGUUCCAUUCGCUGAUCUGGCCAAUCUAAUUAGUGUCCAAGGAAAGCAACGGGGGGACUCCCACCAACCUUACACUUACCUGGCCAAUUGGUUAGUCAAGCUCCGACUUAAAGAGCUUGAAGGCUAACUAUAGUUAGG
rnacentral:lncRNA from 1 species